UACGUAGGGUGCGAGCGUUAAUCGGAAUUACUGGGCGUAAAGCGUGCGCAGGCGGUUUUGUAAGACAGAUGUGAAAGCCCCGGGCUCAACCUGGGAAUGGCAUUUGGGACUGCAAGGCUUGAGUGCGGCAGAGGAGACUGGAAUUCCUGGUGUAGCAGUGAAAUGCGUAGAGAUGCGGAGGAACACCUGUGGCGAAGGCGGCCCUCUGGACGGAUACUGACGCUGAGACGCGAAAGCGUGGGGAGCAAACAGG
rnacentral:rRNA from 1 species